CAAUAUCAGGAAAAUCAAGAAACUAUGCAACUCGUGCAAGAUAUCUUCGAACAAUUGCGAAUAUUACCCGUAAUGGCUUUAUAUACACAGUAUAAACCUGUUGAGGUUUUCGAGUUUCCAGUAUGAACGUCUAACUGGGACAAUAACUGCUCGCUGGAAUCUUGCCUUUCAUAUUAACAUUAUGAUUUAGCGAGAUAUGAUGGUUUCAUUUAAAAAGAAAACAAUUAUAGUGAGCUAUUGUAUGUUCAAAUGGUUAAUGGGUGAUGAAGACGUCGCCCGGGCGAUGAAUAUGCACACACAGAACAGAAGGAUCAGUAAACCUGAAUUUCUGUAAUGAGGUAGUCCUUCCUUGUAACAAAGUGUGGCCUAUGUCCACUGUUGGAUGUACACGGUCAAUGAGAAAUCCGCGCUCACUGACGUUAUUCGACUAUUAAACUUCUAUAAAUGGAAAGGAUCACAGUGGAAAGUCAGCACGGCUGCACAUGAUGGUGGUCGCAGGAUUUACCUAUAAAAACGACAGAUAUCAGCGGGAACAAGAAAGAACUGCUGGGUGUUCUUCACAAUGUUUUGGAGAAACUUCAGAAGAAGAGGAUGAGUAAUUGGGAUAGGAAGCCGAGUCGACUUCCUGUGGUGGCCUUUGUUCAGUGAAAAGGGGACCCCGGUUUGGCCAACUAUGCGACUGUCCACGAAGGUCAAAAUGCAACCAUUUCUUCCUCAAAUGUUUAU